UACGGGGGGGGCAAGCGUUGUUCGGAAUUACUGGGCGUAAAGGGCUCGUAGGCGGCCAACUAAGUCAGACGUGAAAUCCCUCGGCUUAACCGGGGAACUGCGUCUGAUACUGGAUGGCUAGAGGUUGGGAGAGGGAUGCGGAAUUCCAGGUGUAGCGGUGAAAUGCGUAGAUAUCUGGAGGAACACCGGUGGCGAAGGCGGCAUCCUGGACCGGCAUUGACGCUGAGGCGCGAAAGCCAGGGGAGCAAACGGGG
rnacentral:rRNA from 1 species